rnacentral:lncRNA from 10 species
UAUAAAUUUUUCAUAAAGAACAUAGUUCUCCAUUUAUUUCAGUCUCUUUAAUUACAUUUGAUAAAAUUUUAUAAUUUUCUUUUUAAAGAUCAUGCACCUCAUUUGUUAGAUUUAUUCCUAGGUACCUUAUUUUUAUGCUAUUACAAGUUAUAUAAAAGUGAUCUUUUACAAAUUAUAUAUUUUCGCUAUUUGUUGCAGUGUUUAGAAUACUACCAAUUUUUGCAUAUUGAUCUCAAAGCCAUAGCAGAAUAUCAUACUACCUUAUCAUAAUAGCAGACAUUCAUAUAACUUACUAUGUGUCAGGCACUGUUCUAGGCAUUUUACAUGGAUGACAUGCAUUCAAUCUCACAAUGACCCAGUGAGGGAGAUCUUAUUAUUAUAAUUAUUUAUAGUGAGGAAACUGAAGUCCAAAGAAGUGCAGAGAACUUAAGUAGAUUCCAUCAUAAGUGGUGAAGCCAGGAUUCAAACUCAUUCUCCAGCAUCCAGGGCUAUACUCGUGGUACUGCAUUUACUUCUUACUCUUGGUAAGCCCUGUUAUUAAUUCCGAUAAUAUGCCUGUCUAUUCUCAGGUUUUCCAUGCAAACAACGAUAAUAAAUACCUUAAAAUCAGCUAGCAAACACACAAAUGGUUAAUGCCAUAGUAAAGUGUGUAGGAUGUGUGUGUGUGUGUGUGCAGAGUGUGUAUGUAUGGGGUGUGUAUGUGUGAGGUAUGUGGAGUGUGUGUGUGUGUAGAGAGUGUGUGGAGGGUGUAUGUAUGGGGUGUGGGAGGGUGUAUGCAUGUAUUGUGUGUAUGUGUGUGUGAUUUGUAUGUGUGAAUGUGUUUUUGUGUGUAGUGUGUGUGUGGAUGUUGUUUGGGAGUGUGUGUGUGGAUGUGAAUGUUUAGGUUCUGUGUGUGUGUGUUUGCGGAGUGUGUGGAGUGUGUAACAUGGUGUGUGUAUAUGUUUGGGGUGUGUGUGUAGAUAUGUGUGUGUGAGUGUGUGUGUUAUGGAGUGUGUGUAUAUGUAUGUUUGGGUGUGUGUGGGGUGUGUGUAUAGUGUGUGGGAGGUGUGAGUGCAUAUUGAGUGUGUGUAUAUGUGUAUGUUUCGGGAGGUUUGUGUGUGGAGUGUGUGUGUAGAGUGUGUGUGUGGAGUGUGUGUAUGUUUGGGGGUGUGUGUAGGUGUGUGGAGAGUGUGUUUUGGGGUAUGUGUAUAAAGUGUGUGUAUAGUGUGUGUAUAGAGCGUGGUUGUUCCGUGGUAUAGAAUGUGUGUGAGUAUGUAUGUUUGGCUCGUGUGUGUAGUGUGCGUGCGGGUGUGUCUAUGUUUGUGUGUGUGUAGAGUGUGGUUGUUUGCGAUGUGUGUGGUGUGUGUGUAGAGUAUGUAUGUUUUGGGUUUGUGUAUGUGGAGUGUAUGUGUGGAUUGUGUGCCUGUGUGUAUGGGGUGUGUGUGGCGUGUGUGUAGAGUGUAUGUUGGGAUGUGUGUGUGGAGCGUGUGUGUGCACGUGUGUGUAUGUUUGUGUGUGUGUGUAGUAUGUGUGUAGUUUGUGUGUGUGUAUUUUUGGAUGUGUGUGUAUGGGUGUGUGUGUAAUGUGUGUGUAGUUUGCGCAUGUGUGUGUUUAUUUGGGUGUGUGUGUGUGGAGUGUGUGUGCAUGUUUGGGUGUGUGUCUAUUGUGUGCAUGUGUAUGUAUAUUGGGGUGUGUGUGUGUGGAGUGUGUGUGUACGUGUAUGUUUGGGUGUGUGUGGAGUGUGUGUGCGCGUGUGUGUGUAUGUUUGGGGUAUGUGUGUGUAGCGUGUCUGUGUGUGUGUUUGGAUGGGGAACGUUAUAAAGAGCACCAUUCUCAAAGCGCAGGGAAUUCGCGAGCCCUGGGGAUCGCUGGUCUACUUCCUAAGCAGCAAGGAAUGUUAUGCAUUUCAGCGCUUGCUAAGUCAGUGCGUCCUCAGAGAGGGCUUGCAGGCUCCAGGGAGGCCUGCAUAAGGAGUGAGGCCUGGGCCAAGCCCAACAGAAAGUGUCAAAUAACAGGCCUGCCCCUUCCCCACCCUCCACCCCCAGAUUUGGGCUGAAUCAAAGGGCCAUUCAAGCCCCUCCCUUUCACAGGCCGAGGCCAUCAGCGGGCCAUCCCCUGAGGCUGAAACGCAGCAAUCCCACGGGCUUCUGCUCCAAACAGGCUUGUAUUUGAAACCACAAUAUACUUGGCUCUAGUUUUACACACAUUACUUUCCUGGUGCUAAAAAAAAAAAAAAAAAAAAAGGAAUUACAAGAAUGAAAGGGAGAGUUCUUGGGAGAUAGGGAAUUCUUUUUCCAGUCUAGUGAAUGCGGUUAAUAAGUGGAAAAAUAAAACUACUCUCCGUGAAGGGUCUUUGGAAGGGUUACCAGGACACGACAAUUAAAAACAAAUUAAAAGGCUGUAUCAUUCACUCAGCCUCAGUCGCCUCCCACAGUCCUGAGGGAAAUGAAUCUGCUUCAGUGCAUUGGAGGGGUAACCGCUCUUCCUGAAUGGUGUCGGGUAGGAGGAGGGAUACCUGUGUAUGUUCCUCUGUGGCGUCCCAAAUGCUCCUUCAUGAAUUGAGGAAUUGACUGGACAGUCAUUCCCCUAGACCUCACUACAAAUUAGACUUUUGUUCACCUGUUUCAAACGAAUGUUUUUUAGUGCUUUGCAUAGUGUGAAAAACAAUAACAAACCCCAGGGUUUGGGUCAUCUUGGAUGAGUCACUUGAAUCUCUGUGGCUCUCAGUUUCCUCUCUGUAAAAUGAAAGUGUAAACUAGAUCAGUGGUUUUCAAACAGUACUCUCCUGAGUCCUCCCUGAAGCUAGAACAACUAGGAGGAAGAGAAAUGGAAGAAUUAACUGAGCAAUUUAGCCCGUUUGCGUCUGUCGUCUUUGACUUCAGACCAUUUUCAAUACAAUCUGGUUGAGCAGUUAAUUCUAACAAACCUGGUUCUGGGAUUUGCUAAUCUCUCAACAAUUCCAGGUGACUCCCAAAGCAGGAGCCACAGUCUCUGCACGGGCUUGACCCAUAUUGUCAUGUUUUGGAAGGUGUGGAAGAUUCCUGCCAACAUCAUAGCAUCAUGUUAUUCUCAAGGAGACUAAGGAAGACUUAAAACAACCCAUGUGGGUGCAGAAGGUGGCCCCGUGGCCUGUGUUGAAGUGGGAUCUCACAGAUCCACAUUGUAUUUUCACAAAUACAUGUGAGAUUUUCCACGAGAUUCUGCAAGAAUUUCCCUGUGAGUCCUUUCUUGAGUUCCAAAGUUGGGUAAUGAUGAAACAGAAGAGUUCCCUGACCCCUCUCACAGGACGUGAAACAAGGGUGUGGCUUGUCUGUUAGAUUGCUGACACCACUCAAACCCCUUACAGGAUGGAAAGCAUGCAGAUGGGCAGGUGCAGGAGUCCAAGUGGGCACGUGUUACAAUGUGCUCUUUUAGCCGUCUGCGAAUGGCUUGAGUGUUAGCGAGCAAGGGCAGAGGGCCAGUGUGACAGCUUUAUGUAUCCCAAGCUCUUGUCCAGCAUCCUGGAAGAACUGGGUCACACAUGCACUUGAAGGAUAAAUGUGGGGGUCUUACUGAAUGGCGGAGGUGGCUCUCAGCAGGAUGGAUGGAGAACCUGAAGGGAGGACGGAGUAGGAAGAUGGGCUUCUCCUGGAGUUUGGCCUUCCGGCAGCUGAACCGCCCCGGGCUAAACUCUUAGUGUUGAGACAUUCCUCCUCUUCUCUCUUUCUGCCGCAGCAUUUUGACAUUCCUCUGCUUGUCUCCUUGUCUGCCCAUCUGCUUCUGGAACCUGGGGGUUUGGGGUUUAUAUGGGUACAGGAUAGGGGGGCAUGGCGGGCCAAAAGGCAAAUUUUGCAUUCAAAAACAGAAAUGCCUGUUUCCAUUUAGGGCCGAGGGUCUCUGGACUUCAGGGUGGGGCCUUUGCCAGGGAACCACCCUCUUCUACCCAGUAUUUCCCUGUCUCCUAUCCAUAUCAAUGAGGCUUUUCCUGUUUUCUAAAAUGCUUCAGUUAUUCACUAGUCUAGAAGUUAAAAUCAUUAGAGUUGUUGCUUGUUAACCUACUCUAUGGAUCCUCUCUCUUGUCUUGAGAUCAGAAACCAUGGCUUUUCACUAUGAAUCCCCAGACCUGGCAAAGUCCUUGCCCUACAGAGGUGACUGUUUUCCAAAAAUAGAAACAGCAGUAUUUCCAGUUUCACAUGUUUUUCCACAAACUUUCCAUUUCCCAUCAUGAGGCAGAAUCUAUUCGUCUUCUCCAGAGACUCAGGAUUGGGGAAGGGCUGACUCCGUGACUGUCUUGAUAAUUGGAAUGCUACAGAUUGCUUGACUUCCAAGGCUAUGUUAUAAAAAGCAAUUAGGCUUCUGCCUGCAGCUCUCUCCCUAGGGAUGUUCACCCUUGAAACCAGCCACUGGGUUAUGAGGAAGCCUCAACUAGCUCAUGUGGAGGGUGAAAGAUGCCCCCAGCCAACAGCCAGCUUCACCCACCAGGAUAGAUGAGUGAAUUAAUGAGCCUUCAGUUGAUCCCAUCCUCCAGUUCUCAAGUCUUCCAGCUGAAUCCUCAGACAUUGCAGAGCAGAGACGGGGUAUCCUUGGUGUGCCAUGGCCAAGUCUUAACCCACACAGUUGAGUCU